rnacentral:lncRNA from 1 species
UGAAGACGACCUCUGACCCGUUCUGAUCUCUGAACCUGACUACCUUGUCCCUGCAGUCCAAGGUAGCACCAUGGGUAGAUAGCCAAUCCAUCCCUAGAAUGACGUCAAAGUCUGUCAAAUCUAGAACCACAAGGUCGGCGGAGAGGCAUCUUCCCUCAACAAAAACUGGACUGAACCGGCAGACUGACACUGCCACUGACGGGUCACACUUGGGUCCACUGACCCAUAGGGGACACUC